GACGAACGCUGGCGGCGUGCUUAACACAUGCAAGUGGAGCGACGAACCGGGCUUCGGCCCGGGGCAAAGCCGCGAACGGGUGAGUAACACGUGGGUAACCUGCCCCGAUGACCGGGACAACCCGAGGAAACUCGGGCUAAUACCGGAUGUGGUCCCACCACAUCAGUGGUGUGACUAAAGGUAGCUUCGGCCUCCGCAUCGGGAUGGGCCCGCGGCCCAUUAGCUUGUUGGUGAGGUAACGGCUCACCAAGGCCGCGAUGGGUAGCUGGUCUGAGAGGACGAUCAGCCACACUGGGACUGAGACACGGCCCAGACUCCUACGGGAGGCAGCAGUGGGGAAUCUUGCGCAAUGCGCGAAAGCGUGACGCAGCAACGCCGCGUGGGGGAAGAAGGCCUUCGGGUUGUAAACCCCUUUCAGUUGGGACGAAGUGUCGGCCUUUAAUAGAGGUUCGGCAUGACGGUACCUUCACAAGAAGCCCCGGCUAACUACGUGCCAGCCGCCGCGGUAAAAC
rnacentral:rRNA from 1 species